rnacentral:misc_RNA from 1 species
CAAAUGACCAGGCAAAAGAUUUAUCUGCUGCCAUAUACGGUCGAUCUACUUUUUUUACCGUCGCUCGCAAGAGCUUCGUGUACACCCUUUGUGAACCUUUAAACUUUGCUUCGGCAGCCACUCUGUGAUUAAAACCCACGGAGGUAAGGCUGUCGAUAGCCCAUAGCAAAACCAUUUGAUAAAAUUCUUGCAGUCUGAAAACUUUUUGAGAAAUCAAAUUACAAGUUA